UGCGUAGGCGGUUACCUAAGUCAGGUGUGAAAUCUCUCGGCUCAACCGAGAAACUGCGCUUGAAACUGGGUGACUGGAGUGAGGUAGGGGUGUGUGGAACUUCCGGUGGAGCGGUGAAAUGUGUAGAUAUCGGAAGGAACGCCAGCAGCGAAAGCGGCACACUGGACCUUUUCUGACGCUGAGGCACGAAAGCUAGGGGAGUGAACGGGAUUAGAUACCCCGGUAAUCCUAGCCGUAAACACUGAACACUGGAGGAGGGAGGCUUCGGCCUUCUUUCUCGUAGCGAAAGCGUUAAGUGUUCCGCCUGGGGAGUAUGGUCGCAAGGCUGAA
rnacentral:rRNA from 1 species